GACGAACGCUGGCGGCGCGCUUAACACAUGCAAGUCGAGCGAGAACCAGGGCUUCGGCCCUGGGGAAAGCGGCGAACGGGUGAGUAACACGUGAGUAAUCCACCCUCGGCACCGGGAUAGCCCGGGGAAACCCGGAUUAAUACCGGAUGGCCCGCCGGCCCUGCGGGGCUGGUGGAAAAGGUAGCUUCGGCCUCCGGCCGAGGACGAGCUCGCGGCGGAUUAGCUUGUUGGCGGGGUAACGGCCCACCAAGGCGACGAUCCGUAGCUGGUCUGAGAGGACGAUCAGCCACACGGGGACUGAGACACGGCGCAGACUCCUACGGGAGGCAGCAGUGGGGAAGCUUGCGCAAUGGGCGAAAGCCUGACGCAGCGACGCCGCGUGAGGGAAGAAGGCCUUCGGGUUGUAAACCUCUUUCAGUAGGGACGAGGCCACUCGGGUGAAUAGCCCAGAGGGUGACGGUACCUACAGAAGAAGCCCCGGCUAACUACGUGCCAGCAGCCGCGGUAACAC
rnacentral:rRNA from 1 species